UUGGCCGAGACACUCUGGGGU
rnacentral:miRNA from 1 species